GGGAAGGUGGCUCAGUGGUAGAGUGCUUGCCUUGCAUGCAUGAGGUCCAGGGUUCAAUUCCUCAGUACCA
rnacentral:tRNA from 1 species